UGGUGGUGAGGUUCCUGUGAUUAACCAUCUGCAGGUGAUGGAAAUUUGCCCCAGGCUACCUUUAUCAGGAAAGAGAAAUAAGCAAUUUAGGGUAUAGUUCACUUGAGCUGCUUUAGAUCUCUUCUGAGCAAGGAGAAGCAUCUCCCUCCUACGUGCUUUCCAUCAGCUACAAGAGAGGACUCCCUUUAGAAGUGAGGAGCAGUAGUAGCUUCCAUUAGGAGCCUAAGACCUGCAGACCUCUGAAGGUCUCUGUUCAAGCUCAGAAGAGGAAAAGCAUUGAUCUGGCAAGUCAAAUGGGGGGUAAGCAUUUCUAUUUGUAGUGCAGUUGUGAAGAGCGAGUGGAGCUGUGCAGAACAAGACCAUCCAGUGUGAAAUGUAUUUCCUAAUUAACGCACUGCAAGGCCAUCAGAGCUCCUGCAAAAUUAGGGUGGAAAGUGAUCCAGCAGCAAAGGAAGCCUUGUACAUUUCCUUUAAUGCUUUCAUCUUUAUUCUGUGGCUGUGAAAGCUGAGCUCAUUAUAGUCAGUCUUAUUUGUCAGGUAUGAGGCUAGAAAGAGUAUAAAGUGCUGUGAGACACCAGAUAGCAAAUCAAUGAUAAAGUGAAGAUUCUGCAGCAAAAGUGCUGCAUAUGUACAUGGAUGCAUUUAUACUCCUGCUGAGAUGAGGUCCAAGCCCCAGGAGUGUGGUUUAAAGGCAAGCACUUCUACGCCCCUUUUUCUUCUCCAAAAUUUAUGUUGCCCGUGGGAUUUACCAGAUUCUAGACCCUGGCUCUGCAGCCUCUCCUCUUGUACAGCUCUAAGCCAGGACUAAAUAGUCCUGCUAACUCAGAAGUGAGUAGAUGCAUGUAAUUAUGAGCUGGGAUGUCACUGAGAGAAGGAAAUGUUUUCUGAUUCUGAAACGCAUCCUGCAAUUUUGCUUCUGCAUAAGCAUGAAUUUGACAUGUAAGAAACCAAUCGACCAUUAAUAUGUAUCGGUGAAGGCUCUGAUGUCUCGGAAUGUUCCAGGCUUCUCAAUUUGUUGCCCUUCUACAGAGGAGUAAAUGUUUGUUAAUUAAAGGCAAAGGAAGCCUCCCAGCUUGGAGCCAGGCUGCUCCAGCAGUUGCAGCUCCAGGCUUUGGGAGGGGCUUGCUUGGUGUUGACUUGGAAAAUCAUCUUGUGUGAACUUCCUUCAGUGGAACAGGUGACUUAAGGGCUAAGGGCUUUCCCUCUUUCUAUACCAUUAGGACACCUGGGUAGCUGAAACUUUUCUUUAUAGUUUUUGGAUUAGUUUUUUCUGCAGAUGGGCAGAUCCUCUGAUGUAGCUGGCCAUGUCACUGCACCAAUGCUCAUGCCAGUCUAAUGGAAGUCAAUGUAAAGCUAGCGCAAGCAGUCAAGAAAGGGUGAAGUGCCUCUGCCUAUACUGUUGCAAUCUGAACCAAUUUUAGGUGGAGCUGCCCCAAUCCUGCUUUCCAGGCCUCACAUGAUACAAUGGUGAGUCAGUCUGGGGAGCUACGCUGGUCAAAAGCUACUCUUUUGUUAACCAGACCAGCUCCUUGAGGAACAGGAGCUGAGGGAGGGGAAGCAGCUGCUUUGGCAGCAGCUAAAGGGGGGCAUUUGGCUGUAAUAAACUGCUCCCAGAAUAUCCAACCCUAGUAUUUUCUUCACCUGAGGUCUCAAAACUCUUCUGUCAAGUGCUGGUCAGCCUCCUUUUAUGGACCCAGAAAGGAGACCAAAAAGGGAAUUCAAGGUCAUUGUUGCAGAAAAUAGAGCAUCAGAUAGGUGAACUCAUUUGGAAAGUUGCAGUUUAUGAGAUCUUAAGGGGCAGUGCACCAAGCUCAUAUUAUGAAUCUCAUGAUUCAAAGCAAUAUCAAGGCUUGCUCCUCCCUGAAAAGAUCAUGUCUGGAAAUGCACAUGUAAGCAAAUGCAAAAUUUAGAUGUACAAGCAAUUGCAUGCCGGUGAUAGCAGCUCUGCUAACACUAUCACAACAGCUAUAAAAUCCCCCUGGUGCCAGGGUCUUGGGUGCAUCUGUUGAUGCCUAGAUAGGCAUUGCCGAAGGAAAUCCAGUUCCUGAUUGCCAAAAGACUUAAGGUAUCAGCUUUUCUUCUUUUGUGGGGUUGUUUAAACUCAGCUGCUGGCAUUUCUGAUGGUGUGGGCGAGGCCUGGGAUGCAGAUGGCACAGUGAUCCUCUGACCAGCAGCUUGCCAUGAUCCUCUGUGCAGCGUCCGGGUCCAGAAAUCAGAUUUCAUGCCUGCCUGGCACGGUGGCCUUAUGCAAAUGCCUUCCACUCUCUGCUUUGCUUCAUUCAUCUGCAGAGUGGAAGGGUGUGAUAAUCCCUGACUAUCUCCCUGCAGUUGAAUGAAUGUCUGUAUAAAGCAGCUCUUGAGAACCUUUCUGAGCACGGAGUAGAUUUCUGCUGUUAUAAAAAGGAAGCGUUUCAUUCUGUUGUUAUAUGAGUCACUGGAGGAACUCGUUGUAGAUCUGUCGGAGUGCUCAAGAAGCACGGGUCUGUAGCUGCUGGAUGGGAGGCACUAACACAGAGUGACUCAUUGCUCCCUUUGGGGACAAGAAGAGGUUUUCGCAGUCAGAUGGAAAUUGUAUUUUAUAUGCAGAUAGAACUCUUCACCGUGGAGAAAUCCAAAACAGCUCACAAACACUGACUCCAGCGUGUAAAAGAUGUACUGAGAGUUGCAGAUGCUGUUACAUACCUGUGACAAGGCCAGGAAGGGACUUGGAAGAAAGGGCAUGAAAGCCUAAUGGAAAUGAGCUUCUGAAAGGCUAAGAGAAAGGAGGUUGGG